CAGGUAUUUCACAUCCAAUUUUUUAUGGAAAUAUUCUUUAUAAAGCACAAAGGUGUCAGUAUUCACCUCAGAAACUUACAAAACCUUUUAAUAGACUUAUUAAGAAGGGAUAUAAUUACGAUACUGUUGUCAAGUCAUUAAAGAUUGCAUAUUUUGGCGUUAAUAUUGAGUCACUGAUAAGGUCUUUGCAUCGGAACUAAACACAUUUAUUCUAAAAACAGUUGUUGGCAUGACACGGGUUAUGUUCUUCUCAUAUAUGUUAUGAUGGUAUGAUACUAAACCCCUAACGGGAAGGAUUGUGCCUGAUGUUCAUAUGAUGAAAUCAUAAUCUUUUAGUCAGUUUAAUUGAAGUCUGGAGCUGGCAUGUCAGUUAACUGCUAGUAGUCUGUUGUUCUUUGUGUAUUAUUGUCAUUUUGUUUAUUUUCUUUGGUUACAUCUUCUGACAUCAGACUCGGACUUCUCUUGAACUGAAUUUUAAUGUGCGUAUUGUUAUGUGUUUACUUUUCUACAUUGGUUAGAGGUAUAGGGGGAGGGUUGAGAUCUCACAAACAUGUUUAACCCCGCCGCAUUUUUGCGCCUGUCCCAAGUCAGGAGCCUCUGGCCUUUGUUAGUCUUGUAUUAUUUUAAUUUUAGUUUCUUGUGUACAAUUUAGAAAUUAGUAUGGCGUUCAUUAUCACUGGACUAGUAUAUAUUUGUUUAGGGGCCAGCUGAAGGACGCCUCCGGGUGCGGGAAUUUCUCGCUACAUUGAAGACCUGUUGGUGACCC
rnacentral:lncRNA from 1 species